UACAGAGGUCUCGAGCGUUAGGCGGAAUCACUGGGCUUAAAGCGUGUGUGGGCGGGUCGUUAAGUGCCUUGUGAAAUCCCAUGGCUCAACCAUGGAACUGCUGGGCAUACUGGCGAUCUUGUGCAACCUAGGGGCGAGCGGAACAGAUGGUGGAGCGGUGAAAUGCGUAGAUAUCAUCUGGAACGCCAAUGGUGAAAACAGCUCGCUGGGGGUUUGCAGACGCUGAGACACGAAAGCCAGGGGAGCGAACGGG
rnacentral:rRNA from 1 species